UACGGAGGGUGCAAGCGUUAUCCGGAAUCAUUGGGUUUAAAGGGUCCGCAGGCGGACAAGCAAGUCAGUGGUGAAAUCCCAUCGCUUAACGAUGGAACUGCCAUUGAAACUGUUUGUCUUGAAUUCGGUCGAAGUGGGCGGAAUGUGUCAUGUAGCGGUGAAAUGCAUAGAUAUGACACAGAACACCGAUAGCGAAGGCAGCUCACUAGGUCUGAAUUGACGCUCAGGGACGAAAGCGUGGGGAGCGAAC
rnacentral:rRNA from 1 species